GCAAUGGAGAACAUUUACAGAGGACUGUGGGUAAAGCAAAGUCUUCAAGGGAAGAUAACAAAGGAUGAAACAAUGGUGUUGUGUGACUUCCUAGUGUGAAUCAUGGCAAUACAGUGAAAGACAGUGAUUUACUGCUUUUGAGGGCGUGCAUGUAUAUGAUUAACGGAUGGAAGUGCAGGACUCCAAGAUUUACUUCCUUCCCUUUCCAGCAGAAUUACCUGAGACGAGUAAAAUCUACUGGUGGAGUCACUCCAUUAUUCUUAUCUGUGGAGAUCUAGAUCUUGAUUUGAAAGUUUCUGAGAAAAUCUUCAGCUCAGACUUGAGGGUCAACUUUACCAGCUGAAGGAUCUGCAUUUACUGCUCAACCACAUCUAAUUUGAUGUCCUCUGCAGAUUUAAAAUGUGUGCCUUCUUUUCCGUCACCAAGUCAUCCCUGGGUUACUACUGAACAUCCUUCUCAAUUCCCCCCGACCCAUGGAUGGCUGUUCUCCAUUGUCUGUUUCACCAGAUGUCCUCAAAACAAACAGACAGAAGAAGGAAGUGGCUAAUGGUCACUUAAUACUCAAAGACUGCAAAUUCCUUUCCUACUGCUGAUGUGGAAGAAGCUUGGAAACAUGUUCCUUUCCAGGAGAUAAGUGAUACGGCAGAAAGACGGGUCAGAUGAGGCCAAGGGAUUGGAGCCAGAGUCUUACCAAACUCGCAGGCAGCUUGUGACUGCGGGCAUGCUGUGCUGAUGGAGGAGGGGAGGCCUGGGGGCUCCAUGCUGUCGGGAUUCCUCCCUUGAUAAACAGAGUCAAGGAGCUGUGGAGUCCAAGUGUGACUGCCAAGAGGAAUCCAGCAAAGCCAAAAAGCCCAAGCAUGUAGCCCUGCCCGAAGCACGCCACACGCAUGGAAAACCCAGAGGAAAUGAGUGAGGAUCAAUGGGAAGAAGAGAGCCAGCCAGGAAGUUGAAGAUUUGUCCAGGAGCAGAUAGCUGAAGAGAGAGAGAGAGAAGAGAGAACGGCUUACAGCUCAGGUCCUCUCUCCAUGCUUAGGAACCACUACAAAUGCUACUGCCUUGAGUCUCAUUUUGUUUCCCUCUGGAAACCACAUGUGUACCUUGUUUGCAACAGUAUGGUUCUGGAGACCAGAAGGCCAAAAUCAAAAGUAUGGGCAGGCUUGAUUUCUUUAGAAGACUCCAGCGGAGAACUGUGUCUCCUUGCUUCUGAUUCUACAUCUCCAUCCAUGGGCCACUGUUUCAGCAACCUCAGCCAGUGCAACACAACCUCAGCCAAGAAGAGUAUGCAGAGAAAGGAGUCCCCUACCUGCCACAAAACUGUUGUCUGAAAACUGUCUCAUAUUGUCUCAAGUUGUCAUUCAUUGUGAAUUAGACCUGUUUAACAUGUAAUCUGCAACAUG
rnacentral:lncRNA from 1 species